CUCCGCAGGAAGGUGAAGGCUGUUUAUGUAAUCGGCGGCGCCUCGCGGGCGACUGGGGGAAGUGGAUGGGGGAGCCUGGCCAGGGCUGACUGAGCGCCCCUGGAAUCCGUGCUCCGGGCGUUGGCUCACUCCCGCCCCGACACCUGGGCCCGCCCUCCCGCUGCGCAGCCACGCGCCGGGCAGCAGCGUGGGCUGGCGGGCGACUCCCCACGCCUCCUGCAACACCGCCCUCUCCCUACCGGAGCGAGGAGGCAGGAAAAGCCUAGAGACGCCUGGUCCCAUCCGCCUACCCAGUCCCCAGCCGGCCUGAAGGGAGGAAGAGGAAGGAACCCAUAAUCAUCCCAAACUGGCGCAAAUGGCAGGAGGAGACACCAGUGUGCACCAGAGAAGGAGAAGUCAGAGAUGACAGUCCCUGCCUGAGGCCAUCUCUGGUCCACCAGACAACUCAUCACCAACUUCCCAACAGCCACUGCUCUAGGCCAGGUGUCCACAUGGGGAAUAGGUCCAGGCCCUCUAUGGCUCUCGCAGGAGUCAGGGAGGCAGAUAAAUAACAUAUCACAAAGACAGAAUAUAAGAAAUGCCUGGGAGGAGGCAUACUGAUGCGUGGAAAGUACUCAGCCAGAAGCCUGGCACUAGAAGGGCCCAGGGAUUGUUGGCAUGUAUGAGUCACAGUUCCAUUUCAGUGGAGUGAGCAGGGAGAGAAUCUCCUGGAAGUCCUUGGUGGAGCCUGAUGAUUGACAUCUUAAGCAAAUUCUCUGGAGAAGUCGAUGCUCCUGAUGGAGGCUCACACAUUGAUAACCCCUGGUUUAGAGACACUACUAAUUGUUCCAGCUCAUCCAGCUAAUAAAUGACAGAUCUCAGACU
rnacentral:lncRNA from 1 species